CCUACGGGGCGCAGCAGUGGGGAAUAUUGGACAAUGGGCGAAAGCCUGAUACAGCAAUGCCGCAUAUGUGAAGAAGGUCUUCGGAUUGUAAAGCACUUUCGACGGGGACGAUGAUGACGGUACCCGUAGAAGAAGCCCCGGCUAACUUCGUGCCAGCAGCCGCGGUAAUACGAAGGGGGCUAGCGUUGCUCGGAAUGACUGGGCGUAAAGGGCGCGUAGGUGGUUUAUGCAGUCAGAUGUGUAAUCCCCGGGCUUAACCUGGGAACUGCAUUUGAGACGCAUAGACUAGAGGUCGAGAGAGGGUUGUGGAAUUCCCAGUGUAGAGGUGAAAUUCGUAGAUAUUGGGAAGAACACCGGUGGCGAAGGCGGCAACCUGGCUCGAUACUGACGCUGAGGCGCGAAAGCGUGGGGAGCAAACAGGAUUAGAUACCCGAGUAGUC
rnacentral:rRNA from 1 species